GACGACCUCUCUCUCUCUCUCCGCCCACUCUGCUCCGCUCCCUCCUCCGCCGGCUUCCCUCAGACCCCGGCGCGGCCGCGCGCCGAGCCCUCCCUCCCGCCGGCGCCGGGAAGCCCGUCCCGGUGGAACAAGCGGCGCGGCCUCCCCCCGCUGGUCCGGCGCUUUCGCAGGCCGCCGGCGACCCGCCCGCCCAGGUUCAGGCUGACCUCUCCCACGCUACUGCUUAAUUCGAUUGUUCCGUGCCAUGCUAUUCUUCCGGCGAAGCAAUCAAAUCCAUACCUCUGUUGUAUUAGGCAUUCCAAUCCAUCCAGACACCCAGUUGGUGCUGGGAGUUUUUGAUCUGCUGUUCUGAAUUUUCGGCCCGCGGCUCGUUUACCAGAGGUUUUGAGGGGUUCAGCUCUGAAUCCGCUCCUGUGGUGAGAGAUGAAGCUGGUGCCGAGGGAGGCGGAGAAGCUGGCGCUGCACGGCGCCGGCUUCUUGGCGCAGAAGCGCCUCGCCCGCGGCCUCCGCCUCAACUACACGGAGGCCAUCGCCCUCAUCGCCGCGCAGAUUCUCGAGUUUGUUCGGGAUGGAGACAAAACUGUAACUGACUUGAUGGACUUGGGGAAACAGAUGCUGGGCAGGAGACAAGUUCUUCCGGCUGUUCCAUACCUUUUGGACACUGUACAGGUUGAAGGAACAUUUAUGGAUGGAACAAAACUAAUUACUAUACAUGACCCUAUUUGUUCUGAUGAUGGAAAUUUGGAGCUAGCUCUGCAUGGUUCUUAUCUCCCAGUACCUUCACUUGAAAAGUUUUCUGGGAGUGAUGUUGAGGACUAUCCUGGUGAAGUGCAUUUCUGCUCUGGACGCAUAAUCCUCAACCUUCAUCGCAGGGCUUUAACUCUGAAGGUUGUUAACAAGGCAGACAGGCCUAUUCAGAUCGGGAGCCAUUACCACUUUAUAGAGGCCAAUCCGUACCUGGUUUUUGAUAGACACAGAGCCUAUGGCAUGAGACUGAAUAUACCUGCUGGAACAGCCGUUCGGUUUGAGCCAGGGGAUGCAAAAGGUGUUACACUUGUAAGCAUUGGUGGUCAUAAAGUAAUUAGAGGUGGAAAUGGCAUUGCUGAUGGUGCUGUUGACAGUUCUCAGCUUAAUGAGGUAAUGCAGAAGAUUACUGAGAAUGGUUUUGGACAUGAAGAUUAUCCGGAUGCAAGCGAAGGUCUUAUUGGUGACGGUACAUUCGACUGCAGUGUUGAUCAUGAGAAAUACUCUAGCAUGUAUGGACCUACAACUGGUGAUAAGAUUAGGCUUGGUGAUACCGAUCUUUUUGCGGAGAUUGAAAAGGACUUUGCUGUUUAUGGUGAUGAGUGCAUAUUUGGAGGGGGGAAAGUUCUGCGUGAUGGAAUGGGACAAUCCGCAGGGUAUCCAGCAUCUGCCUCCCUGGAUACAGUUAUAACAAAUGCUGUUGUGAUUGACUAUACAGGAAUAUACAAGGCUGAUAUUGGUAUAAAAGAUGGGCUUAUUAUUGCCAUUGGGAAAGCUGGAAACCCUGAUGUCAUGGAUGGUGUGCACAGCAACAUGAUUGUUGGGGUGAAUACAGAAGUUAUUGCUGCUCAAGGCAUGAUUGUAACUGCUGGUGGUAUAGAUUGCCAUGUUCACUUCAUAUGCCCUCAGCUGGUAAAUGAGGCAAUUGCAAGUGGCAUAACAACAUUGGUGGGAGGUGGAACAGGACCAGCACAUGGAACUUGUGCCACAACUUGCACCCCUGCACCGUCUCAAAUGAAACUAAUGUUGCAGUCCACCGACGAAUUUCCAAUCAACGUGGGAUUCACAGGAAAGGGAAAUACUGCAAAACCCGAAGGAUUAUCUGAGAUCAUUAUGGCAGGAGCAAUGGGUUUGAAGCUGCAUGAAGAUUGGGGAAGCACCCCAGCUGUGAUAGAUAACUGUUUAUCUGUUGCAGAAGCUUUUGAUAUCCAAGUUAAUAUCCACACGGAUACCUUAAAUGAAGCAGGUUGUGUGGAGCAUACAAUUGCAGCUUUUAAAGAUAGGUCCAUACACACAUAUCACAGCGAAGGUGCAGGUGGUGGUCAUGCCCCAGACAUCAUUAAAGUAUGUGGGGUGAAAAAUGUGUUGCCUUCUUCAACAAACCCAACCCGGCCUUUUACUUCUAACACUGUUGAUGAGCACCUUGAUAUGCUGAUGGUUUGCCACCACCUUGAUAAAAACAUCCCGGAAGAUGUAGCAUUUGCUGAAUCAAGAAUUCGAGCAGAAACAAUUGCGGCUGAGGACAUCUUGCACGACAUGGGGGCAAUCAGUAUCAUAUCAUCUGAUUCACAGGCCAUGGGUCGCAUUGGAGAGGUGAUUAUCCGAACAUGGCAAACUGCAAACAAGAUGAAAGUCCAAAGAGGUAGGUUACAUGGGCCUGGCGACUCUGAUCCUGCCAAGGAUAAUGACAACUUCCGUAUAAGAAGAUACAUAGCAAAAUAUACCAUAAAUCCUGCUAUAGUAAGCGGCUUCUCAGAUUUUGUUGGUUCUGUGGAGGCGGGAAAGUUAGCUGAUCUAGUUCUUUGGAAACCUGCUUUCUUUGGUGCAAAACCAGAAUUAAUCAUAAAAGGUGGUGCAAUUGCGUGGGCCAAUAUGGGUGAUCCGAAUGCUAGCAUUCCAACACCUGAACCUGUUAUGAUGCGACCUAUGUUUGGUGCAUAUGGAAAGGCCGGGAGUUCUCACUCGAUUGCAUUUGUGAGCAAGGCUGCCAAAGAAGCUGGUGUUGCAUCAGAGUACAAACUAGCAAAGAGGGUGGAAGCUGUUGUUGGCGUCCGCCAUUUAUCGAAGCUGGACAUGAAGCUCAACGACGCGCUUCCGAAAAUCAAGGUCGACCCCGAGACCUACACGGUUACUGCUGAUGGAGAGGUCCUGACUUGCCAGCCAGCAGCCACGGUGCCAUUAUCUCGGAACUACUUUCUUUUCUAGGCCACCCAUUGCUUGAGAAAUUCUUGGAAGGUCAAUAAUUCACUCAACUAGCUUCGACGGUAACUUCAAGUUGCGCAUGGGAGAUGUGCUGCUGGCUCAAAAUAAACAAUUAUACAUUUACAUGAAAAAAAAUCACACGUAUACAUAUUGCAAUACUUCAGUUUCUUGAAAAGUUUUGUGAAAAUACAUACAUCCUUGAGUCAUGUGCAAAACAAAAAAAAAGGUGCAGAAUAGGUUCUUAUAGUCAAUCAUUGUAGUAUUUUUAUUGUGGAAACACAAAAUAGCUCACUUGGGCCUUUAUAAAAAAAUCUGAUGGAAAAUUAGAAAUGUUCUUCUCAGUUCAGAUGUUUACACAAGUUAAAAUUUUCACAACGUACUGCUUGCGGCUGUAUUUGCUAAUCUAGCUUGAAUGGAAGUCACUACGAGGACGGCUGCCGUUUGAGAAUUGCCGCGUCGUGGCGGUGGUGACCUCGGACGUCGACGGGAACGACAUUCCGACGAACUCGUCGAAAGCCUCAUGGUGCUCGAACUGCUUCAUGCUCUCGCUGAUAACCUCCGGCGACAUCUCUGGCGGGGGCACGGCAUGUUCCAGCAUCUGCACCACCUGCCUCAUGCCCGGCCGGCGCUCCGGGUCAGGGUGCGAGCAGAGCAGCCCCAGCUUGAGGACCAGCUCCAGGUCGUCCUCGUCGCACUCGCCGAUCCUCGGGUCCCGAGCCUCCGUGAUCUUCCCGGCCUUCCAGCGCUGGAGGACGAGCUCGACGAUACCCGCCGGUGACGGCAAGUCGCCGUCGGCGUCCGCGGUGAACACCACGGGCCUCCGGCCGCACGCCACCUCGAGCAGGAAGGCUCCGAAGGCGAAGAUGUCGGAGCUCGUGGUGGCCAUGCCGGUCUUGCUCAUCUCCGGCGCGAUGUACCCGAGCGUGCCGACCACGUGCGUCGCGUGCGGGUCGCCGCCGUGGUCGUAGAGCCGCGCGAAACCGAAGUCGCUGAGCUUGCCGUUCAUGUCGGCGUCGAGGAGCACGUUGCCGGCCUUGAUGUCCCGGUGCACCACCACCUGCUCCCACCCCUCGUGCAGGUACAGCAGCCCGGCGGCGACGCCCCGGACGAUCUUGGCGCGCUGCUCCCAGCUCAACCCCGGCGCGGCGCGGCCGAACAGGUGCUGGUCCAGGCUGCCGUUGGGCAUGUAGUCGUAGACGAGCACCAGUUCGUCGCGCCGCCGGCAGUACCCGAGGAGCUGCACCAGGUUGCGGUGGCGCAGCCGGCUCAUGCUCGUGAUCUCUGACAGGAACUCCUGCAACCCCUGCUGCGACCCGUGGGACACCUUCUUGACAGCGACCUCGACGCCGGACCUCGGGAGCACGCCGUGGUACACGCGGCCGAAACCACCGACGCCGAUGACGUCGCGGAAGCCAUUGGUGGCGUCGUGCAGGUCCUUGUAGCUGAUCCUGUGUGGGCUGUAGUCUAUCAUCUCCCAUCCUUCCUCAUCCUCCUCGGCGAACUGCCAGCGUUGCUGGCGCCGCCGCAUGACGAGCACCCCGAUGGCCGCCGACACCAGGAGCAGGACCACGACGGCUAGGAGGAGCAGUGCCAGGAGGAGAAGAAGUGGCAUCCUCCUCUUGGGUGAUCGCGGCGACGGGGGGCUCGGGAGCUUGGAGAGGUCGAGGUCCGGCGCGCGGCCUCCGCCGAGGCGAAAACUCCAGCCAAGGACGUAAUGCGAGCUCAUGGCGGCGCCGUUCGCCGCCGAGAAGCCGACGUAGGUGUCGUCGGCGACGGCCGACGAGAGGUUGACGUGGCACGACAAGAGCGGGAGGGCUGGCCUGGGCUCGCCCGCCGGCGACAGCGUCACCUCGAGGCGCGCGCUGUCGCCAUCGUACUCGAUCCACACCUGCACAGGCGCGUUGCUGCCGCCGGUCAGGCUGAUGUUGUCGAAUCUCCUCCCACCGGAGCCAUCAUCGUGCCAGUACCCGGCGGUGGCCGAGUUGACGGAGUGGAGGCUGUUGACGUCGACGCCGACAUGGUUGUCGUCGGCGUCCUGGAACUCCAUGUCCAUGACCGUGUCGAGCUCGACGGCCACGAUCUGGCUCAGGCCGUUGCCCAGGCUGUUUGACGUGUUGAACAGCCCGAGGUACUUGCCGGCAACGGCGCCUGAGACGUUGACCGACGGCGCGAGUGCGAAGGCGAUGCCGUGGCCGUGCGCGUCCGGGUACCGAGGCGCGAUGGCGAGCACGAAGGUGGUGGAGAAGGAGACGGGCGCGCCCGUGGACGCGUCCCGGAAGCGGAGGGGCGCCGGGUGGAAGCCGUGGCCGAGGGUCUCCUUGGUGUCGUUGGUGAGCUGGAGGAUGCCGGAGGGGGUGACGACGGCCGUGCCGGUGGUCACCACUUUGCCGGCGGCGAAGCCGUCGUACACGAACUCUUGGACGCCGGCGACGUCCCGAGAGAACAGGAGCAAGAUUACCGCGGCCAGCCGCCGCUGAAACAUGGCGACGAUCGGCGCGAGCAAUGGAAGCGAGUGACGGUGGCGUCAGGGUAGGGACGCGGACGGCGUUGGUUGCCGGCGAGCCGAGGUUGCCGUCGCCGUUGCCUUCGAUGAGCCGACAAGGGGACGGGGGUCAUGUGUGGGAGGAUCCGGCAACGAACAGCCAACGAAAUUGUUUUCUAGUGAGUGAUU
rnacentral:rRNA from 1 species